rnacentral:rRNA from 1 species
AUGACUCCGCAGCGCGGCGCCAACCUGCAGGCGGUCUUCAACAAGAUCCUGAACAUGGCGGUGGCGGGCGCGCUGGCCAAGGACCAGAUGGUGCGUCGCAUGUUCGUGUUGAGGGACAUGGAGUUCGACGGCCGAGGGGUUCGCCGCGCUAGAGGUUGUGUUCUAGAACGUGGGCACGUCCAAGGUGGCAUCGCCGGUGGUGGCCGCACAGGCCGGCUUGGCGCUGGUGAGCGGCUAGUCGAAGAACCUGGUGCACCUCUUCCUGGAGGCCGACGGCGUGCCCACCCCCUUGCGCAUCAUGGUCGACGCCAUCUCGGCACCCUAGGAGAACGCUCCGAACGACAACGCAGCCCAGUCGCCCCACCCACAACACGCGACCCACUCCCCCGACAACCAUAUCCACUCCUCCCACUCUCAGUCACAUCUCGAAUCCUCGAGAGUUUCGACCGGCGCCCCUCGCCGCCGGGCAUGGAGGCCACCCCCCGCAAGCUCGUUUUCUUAUCCGGUGACGCACGGGCGGUGGAGGUGUCGCCACGCGCGCCGCGGCCUCGCUCGGAGGUGGAGGAGCGAGUAGAGAGGGCGCGCUCGGUGGGCGGCAUGGCGAGGCAGAAGGUGGAGAGGGAGUGGGCGGCCAUGCCUCGGCGGAGCAGAGGCGGCGAGAGUUGCGGAGCCGAGGAAGGGAGGUUGCGGAAGGCCCGCGAGGAAGACGGAGGCGACCUCGCGGAGGGGAAGGGGAGCAGCGGGCGGACGAACGCGGAGGCGGAGCUCAACAUGCCGCCUGGCUUCCGCUUCCACCUCACGAACGACGAGCUCGUCGUGCACUACCUCUGCAGGGAGGUGGCGGCCCAGCCGCAGCCGUGCCCCUCAUCGCCGAGCUCGCUCUGUACAAGUUCAACCCCUGGGUCUGCCUGGUGCGUCUUCUUCCUCUUCCCUGCUGCUCGCUACCAUGUUUUCCUCCUCCUGCUUCGUCACUCAUUGGUUUCGUCUGAUUCAACAAUGUAUGAUGGCCGUUGGGCAAUGAUGUUGGGCUGGUACCAUUGUCCUGGCCCGCUGGAGGGAGGGACGGCUGGAGGGAGGGAGCAGGUCGUUCAGGAGGAAGGGAGAUCGGACCGAACGGAAUCGUUCGGGAGCUCCCGUCUCCUGACCGAACAAUACGUUCGAUCUGGCUCCUCCUCUCACCGAACGUCCGCGCGAUAUCGGGAAAUCUUGUAUCGCGCACUAAUGUCGGAAGUGUGCACCGGCGGCGGGUUGCACCAGCGCGGGAGUGUCCCGGCCACGAGCAGGUUCUGCAGCAGGGGCCCCGCCUCCAUGACGAGCUACAGCAGCCGACCCCUCGGUGGCAGCGGCUUCUUCGCGGUGAGCAGAGCACGGCGUCGUCCCCGCACUCAGUUUAUUGAGGGUGAUGAUAGGCGCCGGCGCUUUGGGCCGGUCACCCGCGAGCCGUACGAUUCUGCCCCUAUCAGCCUUCCAAUCCUUAUCCUUCCCCUGCCCAUCCCUUUCCUCCUCACCGCACGAGAUCUGAGAAAAAGAAAAACACGAGCACAUGGCAGCCGCACCUCGCUACCACGCCGCACUGCCCGUGUCCGCCCUCCCCUCGUUUGCCCUCGUUGUCGACAGUUGCUGUCGUGCUCGCCGUCGACGCUCGCAACAAAAGAAAAUGCUACCUGUGUCACAUCUAGUUGGAUCCUUGGAAAAAAUGCUGGUUCCAGCAAAACAAGAUUACAAUGGUAG